ACAAUUGUUUAACUGAAGUCAAUAAAGCAUGAAAUAUUUGCUUAUAAAUUGAUAAACUUUUUUAUUCAUUACGUGAAAAGGAGGACUAAUAUGGCUGGAAUCCCAUGUUAUUUUUAUGGUUCGAUCAUUUUUCUUUCCCUAUUUCUUCUUGCAGCCUUUUUCGAGAAGGGAUACAUGAUUCCCUGCGCUACCAGCGAUGAUUGUUUAAAAAAUAUGUGUCGCCCUCCUCUAACUCCACGGUGCAUUGAACAUAAUUGCAAAUGCAAGUAAGAAAAAGAAUUCGUAUGUAACUUUCAUGCAUGUAAUUAUAUUUGUAAGUCAUAAUGUUCUUUUUUUAAAGAUGUAAGUCAUAAUGUUGGUACUACUAUAAUUUCCCUCACAUCUUUUAUUUAUGCUUGUUUGAAUUUUCAACUUAUUUAAGAAUAUCAAAAGUUAUUGGUAUAAGCUAUAGAGGUCAAUAGUUUAUAUUAAACUUGUCAUAUGUAUCAUGACUUUUAAUAUUAAAUAAAAUAAUGUAUUCUUUAUCA